rnacentral:rRNA from 1 species
GUGAGGAAUAUUGGGCAAUGGAGGCAACUCUGACCCAGCCAUGCCGCGUGAGUGAGAAGGUUUUCGAAUUGUAAAGCUCUUUCAGGUGUGAAGAUGAUGACGGUAACACCAGAAGAAGCCCCGGCAAACUUCGUGCCAGCAGCCGCGGUAAUACGAAGGGGGCGAGCGUUGUUCGGAAUUACUGGGCGUAAAGGGUGUGUAGGCGGUUUAGUAAGAUAGUGGUGAAAUGCCGGAGCUCAACUUCGGAAUUGCCAUUAUGACUAUUAAGCUAGAAUGAUGUAGAGGAUAGCGGAAUACCCAGUGUAGAGGUGAAAUUCGUAGAUAUUGGGUAGAACACCAGAGGCGAAGGCGGCUAUCUGGGCAUUUAUUGACGCUGAGGCACGAAAGCAUGGGGAUCAAACAGG